ACUGGACGUGGCCAAUGGGCAGCCGUAUCCAGCCAUUUUCAAUCGGACCUUUGUAUCGUCAAAUGCUGACGAGGAUCUUCAGACCACACUUCUACUAGGUCCGUCACUGAUACCAAAGCCGUCCAAAUUGAAGCUGAUGAUUUUGCAACGAGAGGACCAAGGCUACGUUUGUCGAGCCAGUGCUUGAAUUAUUCCAAGACGAUUUAGUAAUAGUUAAACCAUCUUCAUUCCAUUCUCACUACGUCAGAUAAGUCACGGACUUCUAGAGAUAUGGACUGCGAACGGAAGCAAAUCUGAUCUCCUAGACCGUCCACUUUAUUCCAAAUAAGCACAUGAUAUCACCGCAAGAACUGGUUGAAUAGGUGAACUUGGCCAAAUUUGAGCGUAAAACUAUGCUUAGGGACCUUAGAAGUUAUGGCUAAAUUUAUGUAAUAAACACUACAUAAAAUAUCAAUUUUUGUCCUGCUCUUGGUCAGCUACAUAAGCUUUUGACAACUUAACUUUGAAACGAACUACUUUGCAAGUAAGUGAUGUAGAAAUGACCCACCUUUAAUUUAAGAGAUCUACGCUUCUUAUUUUCUUUCUUACUUGAAUUUGAAAAGUGGCUCAGAGUUGCUAUGACCAAGAGCAGGCCGAUUUGACGGGACGCUCGUUCACAGUCCAUAUUUCUAGAAGUUCGUGGAUAAGUCUGCCUUGAAGUAGAAAUACAAGAAAAAAACUGAUCGCUUCUUGUUGAAAUCCCAUGUAUUGGUAAUCUGUUAUUUCUAACAUGAAAGUGGCCAGCUGAUUCCAGCCAACCACAUGUGUGUCGAUUGUUGAUUCCGUCAAGGUCCUUGCGCCAAGAGGAUGUACGUAUAUAAGCUCUGUUGUUCUUGGCCAGACCCUUCUUGGAGUGACCUCGACCUCCCUUGACAAAACAUUGUUGUUCGAAACGACCACCUCAAGAAGUUUGAUUGUCAAGGCUAAUGCUGCUCCGUCCCGACUUGAUCCGAUGAUACGAGGAGGAAGAAAUGUUUUAUGCCAAUUCUGUUACCAUUGAAUUAGAAUGACAGCCAAAGGCCUCGUCCAUGUUUGAGAAGAAGGUCCAGAAAGGAGCACGCAUGCCACUCAUCUCAAUAUUCAACAGCAAAACUCAGAUGUAAAAAUGUACAAUAUGCUAAAUGAAUCCAAAAUUCAAGGGUGACCCCGAUAUAAUCAUUGUAAUUCGUUGAUAGACCACUAGGACCAUACAGAUUACUAGUAUGGGAUGGAUAAUAAUAUAUUUUUUAUUAUGAUGGGAAAAAAGUCUGCAAAAGCACAGAUGAACGCAUAGCAUCCCUUUUAAGAGCUGUUUAAGUUUUGAAGCCUGCUAAAUUUAACUCGAAAUCUCGUUCAAAGACUCAGCUCAUGUCGCGAUGAGUUCAUUCAUCGUGUCGUAUUUUCAAAAGACUCAAAAUUUUCGUUCACACGCCUCAAUGCCCGCCCCUAAAGUAUGUAAGCGCACCUUCCAGUCCUGGAGGAAUGGUGAUCGGGUGCUCAAAGCUUUUUUUCAACGAUCAACAGGCCUGAUAUUCCAUUCGGACUUCCCCGUUGUCGACUGAAUAAACCAACCAGCCAACGAUUGGACCGACGGAAGUGUUAGAGCUCGCAAGUCAAAAUCCCAUACGAAACCGUCAGUUCUUCCGCAAUUUUUCACGUUCACACACAUCUUCAGAGUGCGUGUACUAUUCACUAUUCAGGGUCGGUGGUCGUACUUUCAACACGUAUUCAUAUCCUGCAGCAAAUGGGAGUGUUUUGGUGAACGAAACUAGCAUAACAUACAUUCAUCUACUCAGGUCCAAAAUGAAGUUGUCUCUGCUCUGUUUAGUCACACUGGUGACUCUGUGCACGGCUCCAUUUCCUCCCGAUGAUCCAAGAGCUGCAUUUAAUCCCUUUGUGAUUCCUUGGUGGCAGCAAGCACCAUAUUGGUUCAGAAACGCCCUUCACGUACAUCUCACCGGAGAACCACUCCCACCAGAGAGAAGGGCUAGUGCGGAUGCGUCAGAGCGAUUUAGUCACCAAAAUAACCCUGGAAAUCAUCAGUUCCCAGGUUCACCUCAAAGGAGUCCACUGGGAAGAUAUACUCGAACGAAAUCGGUCAGAUAAACCUUAUCCAGAACUCGCUAGUUGAGGCAUCCAAUCAAAUCCUUCAUUUGUUAUUGAUUUAUGAUAUAUGCUUUAUAUGUACAUUUUGCAUCUUUGAAAAAAGAAAUCAAAUUUUCAAAGAAACAUUCCAAAAUAAAAGUUAGUCGUUGAAGGCAAAUCUACCAAUCUUUUUU